rnacentral:rRNA from 1 species
GGGGAAUAUUGCACAAUGGGCGAAAGCCUGAUGCAGCAACGCCGCGUGAGUGAUGAAGGUCUUCGGAUUGUAAAGCUCUGUCUUUUGGGACGAUAAUGACGGUACCAAAGGAGGAAGCCACGGCUAACUACGUGCCAGCAGCCGUGGUAAUACGUAGGUGGCGAGCGUUGUCCGGAUUUACUGGGCGUAAAGGGUGCGUAGGCGGAUGUUUAAGUGAGAUGUGAAAUACCCGGGCUUAACUUGGGUGCUGCAUUUCAAACUGGAUAUCUAGAGUGCAGGAGAGGAGAAUGGAAUUCCUAGUGUAGCGGUGAAAUGCGUAGAGAUUAGGAAGAACACCAGUGGCGAAGGCGAUUCUCUGGACUGUAACUGACGCUGAGGCACGAAAGCGUGGGUAGCAAACAGGAUUAGAUACCCUGGUAGUCCACGCCGUAAAACGAUGAGUACUAGGUGUAGGAGGUAUCGACCCCUUCUGUGCCGCAGUAAACACAUUAAGUACUCCGCCUGGGAAGUACGAUCGCAAGAUUAAAACUCUAAAGUGAAUUGAC